GUGGAUGUAGCUCAGCUGGCAGAGCGACGGACUGUGGCUCCGUAGGUCGAGGGUUCAAGCCCCUUCAUCCACCCCA
rnacentral:tRNA from 1 species